UGAUGAUGUCGGGCGCGCGGAGCUCCAUCAGCCGCUUCAAGCGGUUGUUGCGGUUGAUGACGCGGCGGUAGAGGUCGUUCAGAUCCGACGUCGCGAA
rnacentral:tRNA from 2 species